UCCUAGAAAGUCAGUGGGGUCUCGGUUCCUCUGCGUCAGUCUCCACUGGACUAACACUGGAAUGUUCGUGGGGGAUGAAGCCCCUAACAGUGAACAUCUGCAAACAUCUUCUGUGUAUCUGGUGAUACUCAAGACACUGAAGAUACACACUCAGUAGCAGUAGGGAAGCUCAGUGAUCCACGCAAAAGGAAAGCACAACAGAUGAAUCGCUGUAUUAAAGGGAGCCUUAUUAAAGUUUUCACCUUGUGGAGAGGACCUUAUCCCAAUUAACCAAGUGUGACCCAGACCUGUGCCAGUCAGAAUAUCCCACACUGAAGACCUGCUGUUUGCUCUGGUGAUGGGCACUGGACCCAAGCAAGUCAGUAAGCAUCCUGACUUCCACUUAAUUUGGAAAGAAGAGAAACAUCAUUUUCUACUGAAUGUAAGUCUGAUGUAGUAUAGUGUUGAAACUGCUGCAACCUUUCUGCCACUACCAUGAGUGAACCUGUCUGGGAAUGGAGCCAAAAUAAAGGAAGCAGAGAGAGAAGUAAGUCCUGUUGACCGAAUGCCAGGUCCUCAAACAAGAUGUUUCCUGCUGCCAGCAAUGACUAGCCCUGGGACUUUGCAGUCA